AGUUCAUAGAACAUCAGUGUCAGACUGGGGUGCCUAGGGCCCACCAGUAACAUUAAUUUUGAGGGCCCACCGUAUGGAUAGAUUCAAAUAUUACGUGCUCACACAGCAGCAAGAUGCUACCAGAUGAUUGAAUAUGGGGGUCCCUACAGCAACUUUGAGAAG